UUAAUACAAAAGAAAAAUUGUAAGCUAGCAAGACAUGGCAAAAAAUACAGUCUUCAUUUCCCUACUCUUGUGUCUUCUCCUUGUCGCUGCUACUGAAAUGCAGAUGGCAGAAGGCCAUGAUUGUGG